UUAACUAUUAUAUAGUACUCAGACGACAUAAAUAAUAUGAGUUUUGGGUCCUCUGGCAGGCACAGGCCAGCCGAAGCCAGCGGUCCGAGGACGGGCCUGCCAAAGCAACAAAGGUAAUGUAAACAAAGGGUGGGAGAUUAGCCCGAAGGCAGUUCUCUUUAGUGAUCCUUCCGCAGGUUCACCUACGGAAA
rnacentral:misc_RNA from 1 species